AGAGGGUGCGAGCGUUAAUCGGAGUUACUGGGCGUAAAGGGCGCGUAGGCGGUUAUUUAAGUCAGUUGUGAAAUCCCAGGGCUCAACCUUGGAACUGCAAUUGAUACUGGGUAGCUAGAGUCGAAGAGAGGGAAGCGGAAUUUCCGGUGUAGCGGUGAAAUGCGUAGAUAUCGGAAGGAACACCCGUGGCGAAGGCGGCUUCCUGGCUUCAGACUGACGCUGAGGCGCGAAAGCGUGGGGAGCGAACAGGGAUUAGAUACCCUGGUAGUCCACGCUGUAAACGAUGAGUACUAGCUGUUGGUGGGCAUAAGUUCCCAUCAGUAGCGCAGCUAACGCAGUAAGUACUCCGCCUGGGAUUACGGCCGCAAGGCUA
rnacentral:rRNA from 1 species